AGGGAAAGCUGGCGGCAGGCCUAACACAUGCAAGUCGAACGGUAACAGGAAACAGCUUGCUGUUUCGCUGACGAGUGGCGGACGGGUGAGUAAUGUCUGGGAAACUGCCUGAUGGAGGGGGAUAACUACUGGAAACGGUAGCUAAUACCGCAUAACGUCGCAAGACCAAAGAGGGGGACCCUCGGGCCUCUUGCCAUCGGAUGUGCCCAGAUGGGAUUAGCUUGUUGGUGGGGUAACGGCUCACCAAGGCGACGAUCCCUAGCUGGUCUGAGAGGAUGACCAGCCACACUGGAACUGAGACACGGUCCAGACUCCUACGGGAGGCAGCAGUGGGGAAUAUUGCACAAUGGGCGCAAGCCUGAUGCAGCCAUGCCGCGUGUAUGAAGAAGGCCUUCGGGUUGUAAAGUACUUUCAGCGGGGAGGAAGGGAGUAAAGUUAAUACCUUUGCUCAUUGACGUUACCCGCAGAAGAAGCACCGGCUAACUCCGUG
rnacentral:rRNA from 1 species